UACGUAGGGGGCAAGCGUUGUCCGGAAUCAUUGGGCGUAAAGCGCGCGUAGGCGGCCCGGUAAGUCCGCUGUGAAAGUCAAAGGCUCAACCUUUGAAUGUCAGCGGAUACUGCCGGGCUAGAGUCCGGAAGAGGCGAGUGGAACUCCUGGUGUAGCGGUGGAAUGCGCAGAUAUCAGGAGGAACACCGGUGGCGAAGGCGGGUCUCUGGGCCGAAAUUGACGCUGAGGAGCGAAAGCGUGGGGAGCAAACAGG
rnacentral:rRNA from 1 species